GAAGGUAUAGCUCAGUGGUAGAGUGCAUGCUUAGCAUGCGAGAGGUCCUGGGUUCAAUCCCCAGUACUGCCA
rnacentral:tRNA from 1 species